CUCGUCCUCUAACUCAUCCUCUGUUUGGAUUACGUAGUUAAAGGGAUAACUCGUCCUCUAACUCAUCCUCUGUUUGGAUUACGUAGUUAAAGGGAUAACUCGUCCUCUAACUCAUCCUCUGUUUGGAUUACGUAGUUAAAGGGAUAACUCGUCCUCUAACUCAUCCUCUGUUUGGAUUACGUAGUUAAAGGGAUAACUUGUCCUCUAACUUGUCCUUCUAACUCGUGUUUGGAUCAGGUAGUUAAAGGGAUAACUCGUCCUCUAACUCGUCCUCUGUUUGGAUCAGGUAGUUAAAGGGAUAACUCGUCCUCUAACUCGUCCUCUGUUUGGAUCAGGUAGUUAAAGGGAUAACUUGUCCUCUAACUCGUCAUCUGUUUGGAUCAGGUAGUUAAAGGGAUAACUCGUCCUCUAACUCGUCCUCUGUUUGGAUCAGGUAGUUAAAGGGAUAACUCGUCCUCUAACUCGUCCUCUGUUUGGAUCAGGUAGUUAAAGGGAUAACUCGUCCUCUAACUCGUCCUCUGUUUGGAUCAGGUAGUUAAAGGGAUAACUCGUCCUCUAACUCGUCCUCUGUUUGGAUCAGGUAGUUAAAGGGAUAACUCGUCCUCUAACUCGUCCUCUGUUUGGAUCAGGUAGUUAAAGGGAUAACUCGUCCUCUAACUCGUCCUCUGUUUGGAUCAGGUAGUUAAAGGGAUAACUCGUCCUCUAACUCGUCCUCUGUUUGGAUCAGGUAGUUAAAGGGAUAACUCGUCCUCUAACUCGUCCUCUGUUUGGAUCAGGUAGUUAAAGGGAUAACUUGUCCUCUAACUCGUGUUUGGAUCAGGUAGUUAAAGGGAUAACUUGUCCUCUAACUCGUCAUCUGUUUGGAUCAGGUAGUUAAAGGGAUAACUU